GUCGAACGUUGUUUUCGGGGAGCUAGGCAGAAGUCCUAGCUAAAGUUAUCUCGCCCAGGUCUUUAUGGUAUGAAUAUGAAGACCAGGGAAUACCAGGAGGUGGGAACAGUUGAGAACAAAGUGGC
rnacentral:rRNA from 1 species